rnacentral:rRNA from 1 species
GCAAGUCGAACGGUAACAGGGAAGAGCUUGCUCUUUCGCUGACGAGUGGCGCACGGGUGCGUAACGCGUAUACAAUCUGCCUUUAAGCGGGGAAUAGCCCAUGGAAACGUGGAUUAAUACCCCAUAGUAUGUAGACUUCACCUGGAGACUACAUUAAACAUUUAUGGCUUAAAGAUGAGUAUGCGUCCUAUUAGUUAGUUGGUAAGGUAACGGCUUACCAAGACCGCGAUAGGUAGGGGUCCUGAGAGGGAGAUC